ACAUCGGUAACACAGUGGUCAGUGCAGUCUGCCGGAAAUAAGAAGACACGGGUUCCAUUCCCGUCCGAUGUC
rnacentral:tRNA from 1 species